rnacentral:lncRNA from 1 species
CUCACUUUAUCCUGCUCUCUGGCUCUGAGUACAGAUUUAAAACCCAGAGCCCGAGAGAGGCAUCACAUGUGUAAAUGCCUCUAUAUACCUUUCUGUCUGCAUUGCCUGUGACUCUGAUCGCCUCUUUUGCGGUCUGUGUUUCAGGAGAACUGGAUUCAGAGGACGUGAAAAUUAACCUGGUUUUGCCGUGUUCCUGGGCACCUGCCUCCAUGCACACCUGAGUUCAGGAGCCAUGUCCCUCCACUAGAGGGCGGGCAUCGUAGACGCCUGGUACGCCACCUGGGCUGUCGCGUGUGUUCCGGCCUCAGCCCUGGAGAAGGGCCAACGCCAACCAGCCCACAAGCAGCAGAGAACAGCAACUCCGCCAGGCAGACUCCAAGACGGUUCAGAAAAAUAAAGAGGCAAACGUGGCAGGUCAGGAGGUCCUUGGCUCUUCUCUCGUUGGACUCGAAUUCGCUGUGUUGAAACAUACGUAGUCUCUGAGUUUCCUUCCUCACUUCCUCCAAGAAGGCCUUGGCGGGGAGGCAGCAUGGCGCUCCAUGUGGCAGAAAGGCGAGAGAGCCGCUGGCCAGCAAGUGUAAUCCCUCUGGAAAGCAUUCAGAAUACUCGUGCGUUCUGUACUUUUCCCCCAAGUAAAUAAGGUGGAAAAGCAUCAGAAAAGUCAAAGUUUUCCUCAGGAAUCCAGACCACGGGGAGAAAAAUGACAAGUUGUCAUGGCUCACCCUUGCGAGCCACGAGUCUCUCCACGAACCCAGCGUAGCACCAGUGCCUACAGAGGAAGGGACACCUUCGUAUCUGAGCUUGGCUGCCACACUGAGUAGAACCAGAGGAGCUGCCAAAAAAACGGCCACUUUGAAAUCUAGUGAAAGCAGCUAAGUCAACAAAGGAACAACAGGAUCCCAGGUUGCAAAACAAGUUGGAAAAACUUUUCCAAGUGCUAUCUUGGUGACCGCGUGACACAGAUCCUUUGCUUUGCCUCCAGAAGCAUUUAGCUCAGGGUUGCUUCUCGAAUUAACCUACAGGCAGAGGAACGUGCUCUUAGGGUGAAACUCCAUUGUUGCUGCUGCUUUCCGCAGAG